rnacentral:rRNA from 1 species
AGUAAUGCAUCGGAACAUGUCCAUUCGUGGGGGAUAGCCCGGCGAAAGCCGGAUUAAUACCGCAUACGCCCUGAGGGGGAAAGCGGGGGACUUCGCAAGAGGCCUCGCGCGAAUGGGUUGGCCGAUGUCCGAUUAGCUAGUUGGUGGGGUAAUGGCCCACCAAGGCGACGAUCAGUAGCCGGCCUGAGAGGGUGAUCGGCCACACUGGGACUGAGACACGGCCCAG